CUCGUCCGUGUGGUGGACGCCCCUGACCGCCCGCCUCCGGUCCCGGCUACUCUUGCGGCGUGCGCCCUUCCCGGGAGCCCUGGGCCGACCGCCCGGGACCGCCGGGGAAGACGCAAAGCCGACAGCCGUCGCACCUUCAGGGAGCCCCUUCAUG
rnacentral:sRNA from 1 species